AUGACCCAUUACAAGAGUUGGCAAGUUGAUUUUAAGGUGCAGAGAAUGAGGGGAAAAUAUUGUUCUCAACAUCUAGAGAGAUGGGAACAAUUGUCGUCAGAAGAGAGCUACAUGCUUGGGGAGCCAAUGUACUUCAAAGCUUAUGCAGCUUUUGUCCCCAGAGAUGGGUGUGUUUGUUGAUUCCUGCUUUGUUACGACAUCCAAGGACCCACAUACCACACCCCGCCAUGAAGUAAUUCACAACUUUGGGUAAUCAGACACUUAAGUUCUCACACACUGAUGUAGCUAUAGCAUUUGUAUCUAUUCUAGUGGUGGGUAUAUCCGCGUGUAUGUGUUUUAGAUGUAUGGUGGACAGCAAGCGGAAAGGCAGUCAGUCUCUGUUCUUCUCCCGAGAGUCAAAUGUCCUGCGUUUCACUGGAUGCGUUCCUGUUCCCCCAAAGCCUAACCAUGGCAGUGAUAUGUGAUUUUAUGGUAAACAAAUGUUUCCACAACGGUAGUGAAUAGUGAUUUAUAUAAUCCGUACUCUGUUCCACAGCGCCUCUACCUGCACUGUACUAUGACUGUCAUGAAAUCCACUUGAGAGCGCAGCGCCAAAUCACGUACAAUAGCACAGUGGGAAGGUUAACUGUCUUUUUAGAGUCUCAACAGUAACCUCGACCAAUCUGAUCUAUUUCUAUAUCCAGUGCUGGGAAAAGUACCCAAUUGUCAUACUUGAUUAAAUGUAAAGAUACCUUAAUACUCAAGUAAAAGUAAGUCACCCAGUAAAAUACUACUUGAGUAAGUAUUUUAUUUUUAAUAUACUUAAGUAUCAAAAGUAAAUGAUAAACCUUUUCAAAUUCCUUGUAUUAUGCCAACCAGACGGCACUAUUUUAUUUCUGGAUAGCCAGGGGCACACUGACAUAAUUUACAAACAAAGCAUUUUUGUUUAGUAAGCCUGGAAAAUCAGAGACAGUGGUGAUGACCGCGUAAUCUCUUGAUAAGUCUGUGAAUUGGAACAUUUUCUGUCCUGUUAAGCUCUCUAAAUGUAACGAGUACUUUUGGGUGUCCGGGAACAUGUAUGGGAGUAAAGCGGUUUUUUUUCUCCGGAAUAUCUGUAGUAAAAUAAAAAGUUGUCAAUAUAAAUAGUAAAGUACAGGUAUCCCCAAAAAGUUGUACUUAAAAGUAUUUUUUACUUUACGCCACUGUCAAUCAAUCAUUCGCUCAAUAAUUACGUCACAAGUUACAUAGACGGUGGUCAUGAUCAGUGUGUAGGACGCUGAUAAUAAUAAAAUCAUUAAGUCAUUUAGUUGUCAUGCAUUGUUUUUUGCACUGGUUAAGUAGAGGUUUAUUCACUCGAAACCAAACGGAAGCUAACGAAACAGGGAGAGACCUACCUGAAUUUGUCCAAUAGAAACUCGUUUACUCCAAACUGAAAUCUCCGUUGCAAAACGUUUUGGACGAAUGAUUACACCCCUGGUAGUUAUGUCUUGUUAGGUGGGAGGAGCUGUAUGGCCCUCACUCUGUGUGCUCCAACUGUGAUUCUGUCUGUGACUUGCCAGAGUUUUGGCCAGCCUUGAAGUAUCCUUCAGUGAAAAGCCUGAUCACCAGUCAACCCUGGAGAGUUGGAGGACAGGGAGAAGAGUUUACCCAUUCAGGCUGAGGAGAGACAGCCAAACAGCGAGGAAAGGGUGGAGGAGACCUUGGUAGUCACUUAUAAAGAGGAGGAGAAGGUGAAGUUUGGCAGUCACUCCUUGGGAGGAGGAGAAAAACAUAUCAGUUGCUGUUAUGAAUAAGGUAGAGGGGUGCAGUAAGGGAUAGAAGUGAGAGAGGGGGUGGUAGCCAGAAAAGAAGGGGGUGUGGAGGAGCCGAUUGGGGACAAACAGGGCUGAGAAGGAGGUGGAGGCUGAAGAGAAUGGCACAGGCCAAGUGACAGCAAGUGUAACUUUGGAACAUGUACCCGAGGAGGAGAUACCUGAGGGUACAGAGGUGGAGGUAAAGAUUGGCAAUAUUCCUGAGGAGAAUACUGUGGUUAAGGAGGUAGCUCAGUGGAACAUGUUGCGUGUUGUCACCUCAAAUGCUAAGGUGUCAAAGAAAGUUAAGGAGCAGGUUGCUGGCAUAGAAGGAUCAAAGGUUGAGAGAGUGGCGGUUGGACAGAUGGCUUUGGUGGACGAAGCAGCAGCGUUUCUGCAGGGGUAAAUGAAGCCUGCCGAGUGGAGAGAAGAUUACCAAGGACCAGCCCUAGAGGAGCUGGGGAGGUUUUGGAAACCAUCCACAAAGGACAAGCUUGCUGUGCUGGAAACUUCUGUCCCUAUUGGAACAUUGACAUAAAUUAACUUAAAUAUUUGAUAAGAAUUACACCUAAGUGUCCUUGUAGGAUUGAAUAUUAAAUUACUCUUGUUAUAAGCUCUGAAUGUUUUUAUGGAAGCUGGACAUUUGAGGGAUUUAUUUUUGUGUGGGUGUACAGUGGCUUGUGAAAGUAUUCACCCCCUUGGCAUUUUUUCUAUUUUGUUGCCUUACAACCUGGAAUUAAAAUUGAUUUUCUUUGGGGGGGGUUAUUGUAUCAUUUGAUUUACACAACAUGCCUACCACUUUGAAGAUGCAAAAUAUUUGUGAAACAAACAAGAAAUUAGACAAAACAGGAAACUUGAGGUUCCAUAACUAUUAUCUAUCCCCCCCACCCCC